GACGAACGCUGGCGGCGUGCUUAACACAUGCAAGUCGAACGAUGAAGCCUAGCUUGCUAGGUGGAUUAGUGGCGAACGGGUGAGUAAUACGUGAGUAACCUACCUUUAACUCUGGGAUAAGCCUGGGAAACUGGGCCUAAUACCGGAUACGACCAAUCUCCGCAUGGGGUGUUGGUGGAAAGCGUUAUGUAGUGGCUAUAGAUGGGCUCACGGCCUAUCAGCUUGUUGGUGAGGUAACGGCUCACCAAGGCGACGACGGGUAGCCGGCCUGAGAGGGUGACCGGCCACACUGGGACUGAGACACGGCCCAGACUCCUACGGGAGGCAGCAGUGGGGAAUAUUGCACAAUGGGCGCAAGCCUGAUGCAGCGACGCCGCGUGAGGGAUGACGGCCUUCGGGUUGUAAACCUCUGUUAGCAGGGAAGAAGAGAAAUUGACGGUACCUGCAGAGAAAGCGCCGGCUAACUACGUG
rnacentral:rRNA from 1 species